rnacentral:rRNA from 1 species
UACGGAGGGGGCUAGCGUUGUUCGGAAUUACUGGGCGUAAAGCGCACGUAGGCGGCUUUGUAAGUUAGAGGUGAAAGCCCAGGGCUUAACCCUGGAAUUGCCUUUAAGACUGCAUCGCUUGAAUCCGGGAGAGGUGAGUGGAAUUCCGAGUGUAGAGGUGAAAUUCGUAGAUAUUCGGAAGAACACCAGUGGCGAAGGCGGCUCACUGGACCGGUAUUGACGCUGAGGUGCGAAAGCGUGGGGAGCAAACAGG